rnacentral:lncRNA from 1 species
UAACAGGGGGCCAUGGUGGUGCUUGGGUCAACUGUCAUUCGUGUCCACUCAGAUCCUAUGUCUAAUAGUCCUUGAAAGAUCUAGGGGUUCUCCUUUCUCCGGUGUAGAAUUACUCAGCAUCCUUCCUCAAAGGGACCUGACCUCCCCUUCAAUCAAUGAGUCCUGGAUCUUAGAGCUGACUCACAUGCAGAAACUGGGGAUGCUGCUUCGCUGCCUGAACCUUACUGAGACUUGACCAUAAUUGAUCUACAGCAAAGGGGAGAGGCAGGAGCAGAUCUUCAGGACAGCAAACAUUGUCUGGGAAGCUAAAGACAACUAACCAUCUCUACAGACUUUUGCUACCAUAUUGCUCAAUGGGUGAGAACUGCAGUCACAUGCUGUAAGAGAGUCAUUUUGAGGUGGAGAAUUCUGCAGAAUUUCAGAAGCACUGGCUUAGUGUGUUGGAAAUCGUUGAGGCCCUGCCAGACCGUCCGCAUGCCAUCCAGACCGUCCGCAUGCCAUCCAAACCUCCGCAUCAAUGAAAGGGAACUCAGCAAGCAGGAGCUAAGCAGCAAGCAGCCACUGCUCAGUUUGAGGUCCCAGGACAGGAAGAAUUCCUGCAGCAGACACUAAUUGCUUAGGUAAUAGCCAUUCUUCCUUUCUAACAGAAUCCCAGUUACCAUGUGGGUGACGAUGUGCUGUGCUAAAAGCACCUGUCUU